rnacentral:lncRNA from 1 species
CUUUAAUAUUUUUAUAUCCAAACAUGACCCUACCCCGCUCAUCACCAUCUCUCUUACACCCCUCAGAGACCAAAACCACGCCGCUUUAUACCGCCGCUUACCGCUCGCUGAAAAUCGCCCAUGGCGGCGGCCGGCGACCAAAUGCCACCAAAAUUAAACCGUUGCCUCUCCUCAACCCCCUCUUCCCAAAUCUCUAAUCAUUUUUCCUCAAAUCCACCCCGAAAGCCUCGAAUUUUCCAAUCCCUAGCACCACCCUGAUAUUCUCUGGUGGCGGCGGCACCACUAACCACCCCCAAAUUUACACCACAUUACCUCCUUCACCCCUUCUUCCCUAAUCCAUGACCAUCUUCCCUCAAAUCACCCCUGAACUCCUUAAAUAUCAAAUGGAAAUCAGAACCCUAAAUCCCAAAAAUGCAAAUCAACCAGUUGGACGAAGAUUUGAGCUCGGAUUGGACUUUAGUCGCAUGUUUUCAUCGAGAACACACGACUAAGGUCUAAUUAAGCCACAAAAUCUGAUUAUUCAAAGCGUUGUUCAAGGAUUUUAUUCACUUAUCUUUAGACAAUAUUUUUCUGGAACUUUUUCUUCACUUCCUUCCCUUAUUUUCUUUUUUGGUUCUUCUCUUCUUUGGUUUUGUCAAAGACCUUUCUGCAUGUGUCUCUUUAAUCCAGGCUAGUCGUUAACUGGUACUCCUAUUAGUUUUGUUUUAGUUUGUUUAAUUUUCAGAAGUUCGUUGUGAUUUAAAAGUAUUUUUGUUCAUUGUACGUUUUGUUAGUUUUCCAGAAUUGUUGUUCAUGCAUGAUUAGUUUUGCACCUUUUCUUUAAUCAGUAAAAUUAGUCCAUUAAUUAACUUAGUUUACUAAUUUAGUAAGUCUAAUUAAUGGUUUGUUUAGUCUAGGAUUUAAUUGCUGAAAUGUUUACAUUUUUCUAGUAUUUUAGAUUUUAAUUGGUUAAUUGGUUGUUUAAGGCUUGGGAUUUCUGACACAUUUAGGAAAAGAAGGCAACCUCAGUUUGGAAAUUGGACCCUUGGGUCAAAUUGACCCAUGUACGUUUGGUUUAAGGGUAAAAACAAAGGGUCUGAGGGUUAAUUUAGGAAAAUGGUAUAGGGAAUCUACGUGUUACUGCCUUAGGAAGCUUCCUAGAAGCUGAAAAAUAAAUUUGCUUGGCAAGCAGUAAAAAAUUUAGGGACCAAGCAGCAAAAAUAAAAAUUGAGAAAGGAUUGAAGGGCAAAAAUUGAACACUUUUAGGAUGCCCUAAUGCCUUGCCUAUAAAGGCAUCAUAACUUGGUUUUCAAGUCAGAUUUUUUAGAAUAAGAAUUUAGAAAAGAAAAGGACUGCUGAGAUUUUUUAAGAAUUCUGAAAAACUGCUCAAAACUCUGCUCAUUUUUAGUCUUUUACUUUCAAUUUGAUGAAUAUAAACUUUUUGAAAAUCAUAGCUUCUCAUUCUGGGAUUUGAAAUGGGUUGAAUUUGGGUUUUGGAACAAAUUUUGGUUUAAGUACUACUGGUUGGACACUGUUCUAUUGAUUUUCCUGAGCUGAUUUCACUAUGUUGAUUGAUUGAAUCUGAGGUUGUUUUCUGCAGUUGUGUAUUGCUGAUUGUUCACUUCCCUUUCCUUUUCAAUUUCCAGGUACAUGCUCUAAAACUUAUAUAAUGUGAAUGCUUGACUCGAAGGAUGAAAUGGAAAGUGGAAUCGUGAAGUUUAACAUUAGUUUGUAAUUCAUAGUUAUUCAUCUCUUUCCUUUUCUUCUGAUAUCUUUGGGCUUUGAAUGUGAAGCAAUGUUUCUUGUAUUCAGUGGGAAGUUUUGUAUCACACUUGUUUUGAUACUCAUAUAGUGUAAAAAUUAAAGUUGGUUUCUUCUAACAUUGUGCAAGACCUUGGGUGGUGUAGAACAGUAAAAGUCAUGUCACAUAUACAUGUUCAUUUAAGCUUUUCCUUUCUUAUCUUCAUUGAAUGACUGAGUCCACAUGACUGAAAAUUCGAAUGUGACUUUGAAGCCUUGGUCAUGUAUGCUGGUUUCUAUGGAAUUUUGAUGGUUUGAAUAUAAAUUAGUUGAGUUUAAGUUUGUUAGGUAAUGGAUAGUAGGAAAGUCGUGCAAAAGGGGAAAACCGUCAAGAUUGCUUUUAGGAAUAAUGACUUUGUUAUUAGCUUAAUUUUGGUUAUGCAUGACUAUCAGGGUGUUUAGCUAUGUUAAUUUGCGGUGAUUAGGUAAGAAUUGAAAGUGUUUAGCUAUAUUAAUUUUUAUGGAUAAGUUUAUAAAAUUUGAGCUCAAGUUAGACCAAUAGAAAGUAUCCUUCUUCGGGCUCGUCUUGUGCAUCUUGAGUUUCUAAUGUCAUUUUUCGCCUUGGGCCUAAGGUGGAAAGGAGUGGUAAGAACUGGGAUUACAUAUGGGAUUUUUACAUAUACAUCCCAUAUAGCAAACCUUAUAACCACUCAUGUUUAAGGUUAGUAUUUAUUACAUUUAAGUAUACCACCUUUCAAUUUAUAUACCAAAAUUUAUUUUUAAGGUUUAAGGAUCAACUAUUAAUUAGAGGCUUGAUUUGUGGAACAAAAACUUUUCAUAUUUUUUUUUAUACGUUUUUCUCUUUCUUCCAACCAAAACCGAUGCAUUUCUCCCCUUUUUUAAUUACACCCCCC